rnacentral:rRNA from 1 species
AAUUGCAGAAUUCAGUGAAUCAUCGAAUCUUUGAACGCAUCUUGCGCUCUCUGGUAUUCCGGAGAGCAUGUCUGUUUGAGUGUCAU